GAAGCAGGUGGCAUGAGAAGGAGAACCAGCUUUGCUGGACAGUCACGUGGUUGCUGAAGUGCGAUAUGACCAAGCUGCAUCCACUGGGGUCAAUCCAGGUGUCCCCUGAAGAGUGCCUGUCCUGAUGUGGACAUGUACUGGGCAGCCCUGCAGAGGCUGGCCAGCCUGCUGAAAGCAGAUGGGAACCUGGUCACCAUGGCUGCCCUGCACUCCCACUAUAUGGUAGGCUCCAAGAAGUUCUUUGGGCUCCACCCAGAGAAGGAGACGGUGGAGAAGGCCAUGCAGGAGGCUGGCUGCCAGGUGCAGAGGUGUGCCCCAUCAGCUGCUCUGAGACAUGCUCCAUCAACGACGGCAUCUGCUUUGUGGCUGCCUGCAAGGGCCCCAGUGU
rnacentral:lncRNA from 1 species